rnacentral:lncRNA from 10 species
GUAGUGAGCAUGAAGAGUAAACAAAGCUGGUCAUUAUCACAUGGAAGGAUUAUGCCAAGGAGAACCUGGAAAAUAAGAACCUGAAAGCAAGGCUCAUUCAGAAAAAUUCCCAGUGCUGAUCAUGCAUCUGAAGAGAAUCCAGAGUUACAGAGAACAUUUUCCACCUACCAAGGUUAUAUAUACAACUUGAUUUUUUAAAAGAGCACCA